UACGGGGGGAGCAAGCGUUGUUCGGAUUUACUGGGCGUAAAGGGCGCGUAGGCGGCCACCGCAAGUCGACUGUGAAAUCUCCGGGCUUAACCCGGAAAGGUCAGCCGAUACUGCGGGGCUAGAGUGCAGAAGGGGCAACUGGAAUUCUCGGUGUAGCGGUGAAAUGCGUAGAUAUCGAGAGGAACACCUGCGGCGAAGGCGGGUUGCUGGGCUGACACUGACGCUGAGGCGCGAAAGCGUGGGGAUCAAACAGG
rnacentral:rRNA from 1 species